rnacentral:tRNA from 1 species
GCCCUUGUAGCUCAAUUGGCAGAGCGCCCGCCUUGUAAGCGGGAGGUUGCAGGUUCGAGACCGUGCCUGGGGCACCA